GACGAACGCUGGCGGCGUGCCUAAUACAUGCAAGUCGAGCGCAGGAAACUGACGGAACUCUUCGGAGGGAAGGCAGUGGAAUGAGCGGCGGACGGGUGAGUAACACGUAAGGAACCUGCCUCAAGGAUUGGGAUAACUCCGAGAAAUCGGAGCUAAUACCGGAUAGUUCAUCGGACCGCAUGGUCCGCUGAUGAAAGGCGCUUCGGCGUCACCUUGAGAUGGCCUUGCGGUGCAUUAGCUAGUUGGUGGGGUAACGGCCCACCAAGGCGACGAUGCAUAGCCGACCUGAGAGGGUGAUCGGCCACACUGGGACUGAGACACGGCCCAGACUCCUACGGGAGGCAGCAGUAGGGAAUCUUCCACAAUGGACGAAAGUCUGAUGGAGCAACGCCGCGUGAGUGAUGAAGGUUUUCGGAUCGUAAAACUCUGUUGUAAGGGAAGAACACGUACGAGAGGGAAUGCUCGUACCUUGACGGUACCUUACGAGAAAGCCACGGCUAACUACGUGCCAGCAGCCGCGGUAA
rnacentral:rRNA from 1 species